rnacentral:rRNA from 1 species
GAAUUCGCCCUUAGAGUUUGAUCCUGGCUCAGGACGAACGCUGGCGGCGCGCCUAACACAUGCAAGUCGAACGAGAGAGAGGGAGCUUGCUUCCUCAAUCGAGUGGCGAACGGGUGAGUAACGCGUGAGGAACCUGCCUCAAAGAGGGGGACAACAGUUGGAAACGACUGCUAAUACCGCAUAAGCCCACAGCUCGGCAUCGAGCAGAGGGAAAAGGAGCAAUCCGCUUUGAGAUGGCCUCGCGUCCGAUUAGCUAGUUGGUGAGGUAAUGGCCCACCAAGGCGACGAUCGGUAGCCGGACUGAGAGGUUGAACGGCCACAUUGGGACUGAGACACGGCCCAGACUCCUACGGGAGGCAGCAGUGGGGAAUAUUGCACAAUGGGGGAAACCCUGAUGCAGCGACGCCGCGUGGAGGAAGAAGGUCUUCGGAUUGUAAACUCCUGUUGUUGAGGAAGAUAAUGACGGUACUUAACAAGGAAGUGACGGCUAACUACGUGCCAGCAGCCGCGGUAAAACGUAGGUCACAAGCGUUGUCCGGAAUUACUGGGUGUAAAGGGAGCGCAGGCGGGAAGACAAGUUGGAAGUGAAAUCUAUGGGCUCAACCCAUAAACUGCUUUCAAAACUGUUUUUCUUGAGUAGUGCAGAGGUAGGCGGAAUUCCCGGUGUAGCGGUGGAAUGCGUAGAUAUCGGGAGGAACACCAGUGGCGAAGGCGGCCUACUGGGCACCAACUGACGCUGAGGCUCGAAAGUGUGGGUAGCAAACAGGAUUAGAUACCCUGGUAGUCCACACCGUAAACGAUGAUUACUAGGUGUUGGAGGAUUGACCCCUUCAGUGCCGCAGUUAACACAAUAAGUAAUCCACCUGGGGAGUACGACCGCAAGGUUGAAACUCAAAGGAAUUGACGGGGGCCCGCACAAGCAGUGGAGUAUGUGGUUUAAUUCGACGCAACGCGAAGAACCUUACCAAGUCUUGACAUCCUGCGACGAUGCUGGAAACAGUAUUUUCCUUCGGGACGCAGAGACAGGUGGUGCAUGGUUGUCGUCAGCUCGUGUCGUGAGAUGUUGGGUUAAGUCCCGCAACGAGCGCAACCCUUACUGUCAGUUACUACGCAAGAGGACUCUGGCAGGACUGCCGUUGACAAAACGGAGGAAGGUGGGGAUGACGUCAAAUCAUCAUGCCCCUUAUGAUUUGGGCUACACACGUGCUACAAUGGCGUAAACAAAGGGAAGCGAGCCUGCGAGGGUAAGCAAAUCCCAAAAAUAACGUCCCAGUUCGGACUGCAGUCUGCAACUCGACUGCACGAAGCUGGAAUCGCUAGUAAUCGCGGAUCAGAAUGCCGCGGUGGAUACGUUCCCGGGUCUUGUACACACCGCCCGUCA